GACGAACGCUGGCGGCGUGCUUAACACAUGCAAGUCGAACGGUGAAGCGCCUUCCUUUUUGGUGGGUGUGGAUGAGUGGCGAACGGGUGAGUAACACGUGAGUAACCUGCCCCCUUCUUCUGGAUAACCGCAUGAAAGUGUGGCUAAUACGGGAUAUUCUGGGUCUGUCGCAUGAUGGGUCUGGGAAAGAUAUUGUUUCGGUGGGGGAUGGGCUCGCGGCCUAUCAGCUUGUUGGUGGGGUGAUGGCCUACCAAGGCGGUGACGGGUAGCCGGCCUGAGAGGGUGGACGGUCCCACUGGGACUGAGACACGGACCAGACUCCUACGGGAGGCAGCAGUGGGGAAUAUUGCACAAUGGGCGCAAGCCUGAUGCAGCGACGCCGCGUGAGGGAUGGAGGCCUUCGGGUUGUGAACCUCUUUCGCCAGUGAAGCAGGCCUGCCUCGUUUGUGGGUGGGUUGACGGUAGCUGGAUAAGAAGCGCCGGCUAACUACGUG
rnacentral:rRNA from 1 species